AUAUAAUGAUGUUUUUGCCAUGCUAAUACCGAGAAAUCAUAUAUUGAUAUAUAUGUGGAUUUCGUUGAGUUAAACUGUUAAAACAAUCUGAAUCUU